rnacentral:tRNA from 1 species
GAGGGUAAAGCUCAGUGGUAGAGUGUAUGCUUAGUUAGCAUGCACAACGUCCUGGGUUCAAUCCCCAGUACCUCCA